CUCAGUUUGCAGUUGAGAUCGUCGAUCAGCAGGAGAUUGAGUUGAUAGAUCUCUCCGAUAUUUCUAGAGGUAGCCUCAUCGAAUCAGGACUUCUAUCUCAUCCUUAAGCUGGAUGCAUUGUUCGAUAUCAUGCUCAUGAUCAUGACGGAACCGACAAUACUUCCUCCGAUCGCGGUUCCUCGACAAUGCUUUCAUCAGUGGGGGGUGUCAUAGAUAUUCCACUCC
rnacentral:lncRNA from 1 species